rnacentral:tRNA from 2 species
GGGCAUGUGGUGUAGUUGGUUAUCACGCUCGCUUAGCAUCAAUAGCUUGCGAGAGGGGUCCGGUUCAAUCCCGGACAUGUCCA